rnacentral:rRNA from 1 species
GACGAACGCUGGCGGCGUGCUUAACACAUGCAAGUCGAACGGAAAGGCCCUGCUUUUGUGGGGUGCUCGAGUGGCGAACGGGUGAGUAACACGUGAGUAACCUGCCCUUGACUUUGGGAUAACUUCAGGAAACUGGGGCUAAUACCGGAUAGGAGCUCCUGCUGCAUGGUGGGGGUUGGAAAGUUUCGGCGGUUGGGGAUGGACUCGCGGCUUAUCAGCUUGUUGGUGGGGUAGUGGCUUACCAAGGCUUUGACGGGUAGCCGGCCUGAGAGGGUGACCGGCCACAAUGGGCCUGAGAUACGGCCCAGACUCCUACGGGAGGCAGCAGUGGGAAAUAUUGCACAAUGGGCGGAAGCCUGAUGCAGCAACGCCGCGUGCGGGAUGACGGCCUUCGGGUUGUAAACCGCUUUCGCCUGUGACGAAGCGUGCGUGACGGUAAUGGGUAAAGAAGCACCGGCUAACUACGUG